GAUAAGUGUAAAUUGUGAGAGGAUCUAAGGUGGGAUUGCUAACAACUCUGACUACUCCCAGAGUUGAAUCAUAAAUUCCCCCAAAAAACAUCGCUUUAGCCACUAAUAAUAAAGCGCCGACUCCCAAGAACAACAGGUGAUGACCUAAAAUAAUCCCCAGUUUUUUAGAAUCAUUCCA
rnacentral:antisense_RNA from 1 species